rnacentral:rRNA from 1 species
UACGUAGGGCGCAAGCGUUGUCCGGAAUUAUUGGGCGUAAAGAGCUCGUAGGCGGCCUGUUGCGUCCGCUGUGAAAUCCCGGGGCUUAACCCCGGGCUUGCAGUGGAUACGGGCAGGCUGGAGGCAGGCAGGGGAGAACGGAAUUCCCGGUAUAGCGGUGAAAUGCGCAGAUAUCGGGAGGAACACCGGUGGCGAAGGCGGUUCUCUGGGCCUGUACUGACGCUGAGGAGCGAAAGCGUGGGGAGCGAACAGG